AUUAAAACUUUUCAGCUAGAGUAUGAUAGAGGAAAGCAGAAUUUCUAGUGUAGAGGUGAAAUUCGUAGAUAUUAGAAAGAAUACCAAUUGCGAAGGCAGCUUUCUGGAUCAUUACUGACACUGAGGAACGAAAGCAUGGGUAGCGAAGAGGAUUAGAUACCCUCGUAGUCCAUGCCGUAAACGAUGUGUGUUAGACGUUGGAAAUUUAUUUUCAGUGUCGCAGGGAAACCGAUAAACACACCGCCUGGGGAGUACGACCGCAAGGUUAAAACUCAAAUGAAUUGACGGGGACCCGCACAAGUAGUGGAGCAUGUGGUUUAAUUCGAAGAUACGCGCAGAACCUUACCAACACUUGACAUGUUCGUCGCGACUCUAAGAGAUUAGAGUUUUCGGUUCGGCCGGACGAAACACAGGUGCUGCAUGGCUGUCGUCAGCUCGUGUCGUGAGAUGUUGGGUUAAGUCCCGCAACGAGCGCAACCCUCACUUUUAGUUGCCAUCAUUAAGUUGGGCACUCUGAAAGAACUGCCAGUGAUAAGCUGGAGGAAGGUGGGGAUGACGUCAAGUCCUCAUGGCCCUUACGUGUUGGGCUACACACGUGCUACAAUGGUAUCUACAACAGGAAGCAAGACUGCGAAGUUAAGCAAAUCCCUAAAAGAUACCUCAGUUCGGAUUGCACUCUGCAACUCGAGUGCAUGAAGCUGGAAUUACUAGUAAUCGUGGAUCAGCGUGCCACGGUGAAUGCGUUCCCGGGUCUUGUACACACCGCCCGUCACACCAUGGGAGUUGG
rnacentral:rRNA from 1 species